UACGAAGGGGGCUAGCGUUGCUCGGAAUCACUGGGCGUAAAGCGCACGUAGGCGGAUUGUUAAGUCAGGGGUGAAAUCCUGGAGCUCAACUCCAGAACUGCCUUUGAUACUGGCGAUCUUGAGUCCGGAAGAGGUUGGUGGAACAGCUAGUGUAGAGGUGAAAUUCGUAGAUAUUAGCUAGAACACCAGUGGCGAAGGCGGCCAACUGGUCCGGUACUGGACGCUGAGGUGCGAAAGCGUGGGGAGCAA
rnacentral:rRNA from 1 species